UACGUAGGGUGCGAGCGUUAAUCGGAAUUACUGGGCGUAAAGCGUGCGCAGGCGGUUCGUUGUGUCUGAUGUGAAAGCCCCGGGCUUAACCUGGGAAUGGCAUUGGAAGCUGGCGAGCUGGAGUGUGGCAGAGGGGGGUGGAAUUCCGCGUGUAGCAGUGAAAUGCGUAGAGAUGCGGAGGAACACCGAUGGCGAAGGCAGCCCCCUGGGCCAACACUGACGCUCAGGCACGAAAGCGUGGGGAGCAAACAGG
rnacentral:rRNA from 1 species